rnacentral:lncRNA from 1 species
AAGGCGCCUGAUGCAAUGGCUGGGGCGAAAUGAUUUGCAGAGGCUGAGUACCUUUUUUUUUUUUUUGCAUGGCAGUCUGAUACCCUGGGGUUACAUGCAAAGGAAAUUGGAUGUAGAGGGAAUGAGAGCAGGCUGUAUGAAGUCAUAUUUUACUAUCCAUCAGUUGGAAAGAGGUGGGGUAUCACUUAUUACAGGGAGCUGUGAACACAGCUGAGCUGCUGUGUAACAUGACGACAGGCUGCAUGAGCUAUAAGACCUCCAACAGGGUCUCAUAUGUAGGUGGCAGUGGCUAACUGUGCAACAUACUGUGUAGGCGUGAUUCACUACCUCAACUAUGGAUCUACAUUCAUCAUAAAAAGACCUUCUUCUUCUUCUUCUUGUCAGUAUCUGUAUUCUCACUGCAUACAUCUGUGUGACCUGUGUUAGUCGAGGUUAUCUGUGAUCUCAUGUAUUCCUGUGGGAUCUGCAGCAGUAGGUAAACACAACACUGAAGGCUUACAAUGUCUGUGUGGUCUCCAUUUCUGCUGCAAAUAAAAGACAAAUCAGUGUAUUUUGCUUUGACACAAAAAUAGCUUUUGUGCUGUGGCCCACAUGGUUCCCUCAGUCAAUGCAUUAUUGAUAAUGUUUUGCUGCGAUAACACUGCAAAAGUCCAUUACAGGAUGUUGUGGGACACAAAAGAAAAAAAAAUACUGUAUUCAGAACUGAGAUGCAACCAGGCUUCAUGAUUUUUGUCUAUUGUCGAUAUCAUUGUGUGCAUUAUUUAAAAGCUGAACAGCUGUUUGCACCACCUUGCAUUCAUUUCUCCUGCUUCAUUUGUCUCUUGUUUAUGGAGGGAAAUAGCAUAUCCUCCGAAAGAAAAUGGAAGCAAAUGGAAAAAAGAUUGCAGUCUUGCUUCGGUUGUAACAGUGGUUAGUUUAUGGUAUUACAAUUCUGUCACACUCCUUAGUUCCAGGAUGCAAAUUGGACUUGCACAGCUCAGUGCUAUUAUCCUUGUAAUUUCAAUUGGGCUCAUUUAGGCAUAAACAGGCCUCAGAGAGAGAAUGAGACUGGGGAACACAGAAUUAGCUGGGAGCCAAGUCACAAAGCAUUCAGCACCUGAUUCUCAGCUAGGACAGAUGGCAGGAUUGCAGCACGAUGGCACAAACAUGCAAGAAGACAGAGUGAAAGAGGGAGAGGCAGAACAACACACAAGCGCACACACAAAUAAGCAGCCAUGUCUCUGUGUUCCCUUAGGCCUGUGGCCAAGAAUCGCAAUCUUUCACCAGGAUUAAAGUCUCUGUAUGAAACCUGGGACUGAACAUGACUGAACCCAUCAUAAGACGGUGCCAAAACAGCUGUCGGGGGCUGGUCACGGUACCGGCAGUGAGUCACAGCUCCUGUCCACAGGCCGUCUGUUGCCUUGGUGUGACGGUAAGAGAGAGAUUUUCAAUUCAGUGCCCAUCACGCUCAACCCACCAUGUUCCAAAUCCUCCUCCACCCAAACGUCAUGCACCUCUUGAGCUGUUAGACCUCCUGCGCUAAUAGCAUCCACACAGCUGACGUCCAGAGCUGGUUGCCGGUGCCUGAGGAUCACAUUGCUGUUCACAUCUUAUGCGAAUUCAUGUAUAAGCCAUACCCUGCUUACACAGGCUGGUUUCUCCCGGGCAGUUUUAAUCCAUCAGUACAUAGAUCUGUUUCCCAAUUCUUUCCAAAUCCAAGAUGACGAGCUGAUCUAAUAAAAGCAUGUGCAGACAGACGCCGGUGCUCACACAUUAUCCUCUACAUCUAAUCCUUCCUCUAAUUAGAGAUGCUGUCUUAAAACCUCGAAAAACAACAAAACAAGGAAAAAUGAAUAGAAAGCAUCAAACACCUACUGGGUAUUUUGAUUGUAUGACCAAGUCAAAUAAAUGAGCAUGUUGGUGGAUUUGUAGCUUUAAGACCUUGAUUAUACACUGCAUGUUCACCAUUGUUGUCAUAGCAGAAGCUCUAGACUGAUUUCAUUCCUUCUAGGUAGCCAAGGCUGGUUGCUAGUGAUGGGCACGGCAGUUCUUUUAGAUGUACUAAAUCACUAGAAUCAGUUCACUAAAAGGAUUCAUUCAAAAGAUUUGUUCACCAAAUAACAGAAUCAUGUAGCGUUUGGUGGGAGAAGCCUGCGACCCCGACCUCCUGAACUGAUACACAGCUAGAGUGUUUGGAUGUGUUGCUUUGGUAAACAGGUUUGUAAAAAUGAACUUGUUCAUAGGUCAUGAUGUUUUACUGUCCUAUGGUAUGCUAUUUAUCAGGUAAAUUGGGAUCAGUGAGUGAUUCGUUCACUGAACGUGAACCAUUCCCUCGCAAAUCGUUGCAAUGAUAGGAUGUUGCGGGUUUUAUGCACUACUUGUUACAUGCUGUGUCCUAUUGUUUUUUAGUUUUUGUGGUGGCAAUUGAGCAGUAAAAAAAAUAAAAUAAAAAAAAGGUAGCUUUGUCCGACAAAAAUGAUUCCAGAGAAUGUAGUUCAAUGCGUGAUUCGUUCACCAAGUGAUUCAGAUGUCGUUGCAUGCGGUCCCUCGUUCCUGGCUGCUCGACUGGCAAUGCUGUUUCUCACUUCAGCUCAACUGAAGUGAGAAACAAACGAAUCACUCGAGGAAGUGACUCAGUUCAGUACAUUCACUUAAAAGAUUUGGUUCUUUUGAAUGAAUCAUUCGCGAAUGAAACAACAUUACUGGUUUUAUGUUCGUACCUCAGGGAGGUCGACAGAGAAAUUAGACUAUUUUUCAAGCAGGCUGACCUGCAAUGACAGUGGCACCAAACUCACUAUAAAUAUUUGCUAGGCAAAAAUACAUCUUGUUAAGCAACAUAUGCACACAAAAAAUGUUAAUUGAUCGAACAAGUUCUAUCAAGAUGAACUUCACAUAGUAGAUCCAACAGUUUGAGAGCUUUACUGAUGUUCCCUCAGCUAUCCAAGCCUUUGUAGUGGUGACUAAUGAAAGUAAGCUAGUUACAGACAGUUAGUCCAUACAAAGAAAGAGGACAAGGUAUAAAUGAACUUAUAUUUUAUUCAGUACAAACGCUACAGUUUGAAGGAGUUCACUGAUCUAAGCAAAGCUACAGCAGUAACAGAGAAAGGCAGUGAACUAGUUUUUAACACUUAAGAGGUAGACAAUUAAAUAUUAAGAUAUUUUCAAGUGAUUAGACAAGUCAAAAUAAGAUAUACAGCACAAAGAGAAGGGCUUUGAAAGUUACUGUUAGGAGAAGUUUGAUUACCAACGGGCUGCUAGCUCAACUGUAGUGACUAUAAAUAAGCUAGCUUCGAACACUUUGUACACAAUGAGUAGACAAAUAAAACUACUGUAUUUUUAACAAGUUGAAAUGCCAUAAACAUCACAAGGUGGAAAAGCUAAAAAGUAAGCUAGCUAUAUUAACUUUUUUUGGAUACAAUUAACUGGAAAAAGAAUAAAUGUAAGAAAAUCAAAACAGGCUUUUCCUUUAAUUUUUAUAUUGUCUGUUUAAAUCAAUUUCAGGGGACAUACUCAUCUGCACUUGCCCCAUGCUGCUUUGAUUUGGUGGCUAUCUUUCACUAUCCCUAUCUGCCAUAUCCCUAUCUCUAAACUGCCGUAGAGAUGCUACUAAAACUGAUUUAUUUCCUAGUACCAUCUGAAAAAUACUGUACUUCUUUCUAACAGCUAAAAAUAUUCAACACUUCAGUGCCUGAAAUUGAAAUCUUGAAUCAUUUCAGCCUCACCAGGAAAAGCCUUAAUGAGGACGUCUUCUCAUGAUGUAGUUAUAACUUGACAGUCCAGAAGACAAAAGAAGAGAUGUUGACAGUCAGAGAGAUAAAAUAAGUUAAUUUCAAUUCUCUAAAAGAUGAUUAAAAGAUUAAAUCAUAAUUGACUGUAAUGUAGCGAGGGCUUCAGUCACAGGGCUGUUGAUUUGUUCCUCAAAGUUUUGGGUGAUGAGGAAAGAAGGAACAAAUAUAAAAAAUGAGUUUGUUGAGUAAAGAGAAAAGUGACAGACAUCUCCUCUGUGACCUUUAUUAUUAUUUUAUAGACCUGGUAAUGAGGCGGAGACUGUUUCUGUUUCUGCUCUCACUAUUUUUGUCUUGAAUUCAUCACUGUCGCAGCAUUGACUUUGGCACGAAGGUGGCAUCUUUUUUUGUUUGUUUGUGUGUGACACCACCUUCUCCUUUACCUCACCUCCCCAUUAUCUUUGCACAGUCAUCCCUUCCCUCUCGACUCUCCUCUUUUGUCUUUCAGUGAACAUUUAUUGCCUUGCUGCAUUUAAAUCUGCCUUUCUCCUCUCGCUCUUCACAUUCGCAGCUUCCCUCUUGCUCUGUUUACUUUCUCUCGCUCUCUUUUUUGACACCAUCCACCAGUUUUCUCUCACUUCUCUUUCAUAUUCCAUCACUCACUGUAAUAGUCUGCUGCUUCCAAUCCUGUCUUUGUGUUUUUUGUUGGACAUCACUACUCUUCCUUAUAUAAAGGCAGGUGCACCGGGGUAGGUUUCUUGUCUCUAGGGGACAGGGUGUUAAUGAUGCUUUAAUAAGUCCUUAGUACACAAGGUUGGAGUAAAAAAAAUGGAGAACAGAAAGAAAGAAAGAGAGAGGGAGGCAUUGGAGGGCUGCCACAGAUGCUGAAUGGGCAACUUUUAAGCAUUUCAGAUAAAAGCAAAGAGAGAUAUUAUAACAUUUUUGUUGACUAAAAAAGCAUAUCAGCGACAUUUCAAAAUGAAACCACUCAAACUUUUACAAAACAACUCACCCAAGCUGCCAAUUUGAGGAAACUCUGCAGAGCUCGCAGAAUAAACCCAGGAUAUUGGAUGGCCUGGCAGAGGCUUUCUGAGGUGCCACUUUAGGAUCACUCUCUCUGAGCAAGUGUCCUCUCUCUAAGGGACAAACUGUGACACAUUUUCACAGACAAAUCCUCUUCCCAACCCUGGCUGAUGCUGUGUGCCGAGAGUUGUAGAAGUUUUAGAGAGCUAUGAAUUGAUCUGUAAUUGGCUCGGCGUGCUUUGCAGUGAAAGCACACCCACUGACUCCUGUAACAUAUGGACACUUUAGCGGGAACACAGAUCAGAGAUGUCAAGAGGUGUAAGUGUAGUGAGCGAAAAGGUACUCCAAAGGCAUUAUCCAAUAAACCUGAAAUGUUGUAUCAUUUCUUUUUAUUUCUUCUCCCAUAUCCUGAGCUGUCAACCCAGCCCUUAACACUGAAACAACUGUCCUUUUGUUUAUUUGUCCGCUGUUGAUGGAGCGGCGGGGAAAGCUGGACAAGCCUAGGGAGUGGAGAAAGCGGAAAAUUACAAAACAAAAGUAAUGUUGUAUUGAAGCUGACUUAAAUCUAGCAAAUGAGACAAUAAACUUAAAAGAAAAUGUGAUUAAAUAUUAACCUUCUAAUUGAUUUCAAUGUGAUUUUUUGCAGUCGGAGCUAUUGCCCCCUGCUGGCCAUAAUAAGAAUGCAGGUUAACUCUUAACAAGGUAUCUAAUGUUUGUUGAAUACAUUUAACAUGGGAAAAGAUUAGGCUGUUAUAAAAUGUAAGGUUUUCUCAUAGACUGUAUAUACUAUGGACCACUUGGUUCCGCCUUCCGCCUGUGUAGGGAUUUGAACGCGGAAAGGCUCUGAGUAAUUCCACGUUUUUUCUCCACUUCCUGAAGCCAACAUUGCACAGUAGCAUUGUACGCACUCCACCACCUGCGCAGUAGCAUUGUACGCAUUCAGCGGGAGAGUCUCUGUGAUGACACUCAGCUCAAACAGUGUAUCCCUUGGGUGAGCUACCAAGUGUCAAUCAUAGAAAACAUGAACCCCCCAAUAACUUAAAAAUGGAGCUGCACAGAAAAAAGAGGACUUGAGCACAAACCAGUCUUACAGUAACUACAUGUUAACAUCGCAGGCAGGGGGGAGAAAAAUUUAUAUUCUGUGUAAUAAAUGUCUAAAGUUUGUCCAUGAAACUGCAGUUCCUCAAACGUCCACUUGAGGCAUGCCAAAAAAAAACAUUCAGACACAUGUUAAAAUACCAAUAAUUAUCACAAUAAUUAACAUGUUUACGGUAUGUUUUGGCCUCUACACCUAUAGUGUAACAGCGUAUACAUUUCAAUCAUGGGUCAAACGAGUUUUAGACAUUAUGGCUCUGAGUGAUAGGUGGAUACUGCUGGCUGCCAACAUAGCUUUAGCUUCUUAGCUGCGUUAGGGUUGUUGUUUGGAUUUUUAAUUAAAAUAUCUAACAAAUAUCGAUGUAUUUUGUGUGUUUUAUAAAACUAAUUCUCAUUCCAAGAAGUCUGUGUUAAAGCAUUUAUCGUAAGUAGAACUCUGAUACUUGUGUAUUGACGUUUUUGCAUGUAACAGAUGCGCUUAGCUCGUCACUCUUGGCAUGUUAGCUCACUCAGUGUUCGUCAUAUAUUUAUAUAUCAAUGCUGUAGGACAGAAAAUAGAUAGAUGUACUUUUUUUUAAUAGAAGUUGUCAGCUUUUUCCUGGAGAAAUAACGGCAGAUGGUAUUGAUGAGAGACAGAUUAUUUCCAGUUACAUUGUACACGUUGGUCAGCUGUCACUCUAUCACUAGAGAUUCGAGCUGGUGAACAGCUACUCCGCUUGUUUGUUGGCAAGUGAAUUAGCCAUGAUUGUGGACUGUAAAACUUUGACAGUUUAGUCUUACUUCCAGUUUUAUCCUUUCAUCCAAAUAUUUUAACUUCUGGCUCCUUGAAUCCAAUAUGGCUGCCUCUAGUGGCUCAAAGUAAAUGCUUUAUUCACUCAUUCAAAAAAGCAAAAGUUUUAUCUCUAAGCUCCCUGAAAAAUAUCACUUCCCAAGCCGCGAAUACCCCAAGAGGGACGAGUUCACACAGACUCUUCCCCUGAACAGAGUAAACACAACCCCAUUUGAAGGAGCCGUAAAUCAGUUAUAUAUCUCUUCCAGGCAGCUUUCUGCAUGAACUCCUCAUCGGUGUAAUGCAUCGUGCUCGUAUUAGCUGGCUGAGAGCAGAAUUAGCAGACAAUUGGGCUUAAUGAAGGCAGCGUGGGUUCCUUUGGGGAAACGCAGCCUUCCAGACUAGUUGGCUGAAAGCUGCAUCAUCUACAGGAAGAAAAUCUCAAGUUACCCCGAGGCUGAAAGGAGCCUGUCUUCUCUGACUCCAGGCAACUUCCCUCUCCUGCCCUUUACUCGACAAAUGAACAAUUGCCUGGUUGAAGAAAAGUGUUGAUGUCUCUUUACGUCUCUUUCAGGUCCGUCAGUUUGAAACUAUAUGAACUCAAGGGGUUAAUAGAAG